AACGUAGGAGACAAACGUUAUCCGGAGUUACUGGGCGUAAAGGGCGUGUAGGUGGUUGAGUAAGUCUGGCGUGAAAUUUUUCGGCUUAACCGGGAAAGGUCGUCGGAUACUGCUUAACUAGAGGACGGUAGAGGCGUGUGGAAUUCCGGGUGUAGUGGUGAAAUGCGUAGAGAUCCGGAGGAACACCAGUGGCGAAGGCGACACGCUGGGCCGUACCUGACACUGAGGCGCGACAGCAUGGGGAGCAAACAGG
rnacentral:rRNA from 1 species